GACAAGUUCCCGGAUGUUCUUGAGUGCUCAUCGAUGGAUACUCUUCUAUCCCAGAAGCCCACGCGAGAUCAAUACGUCAUCAUCGAACGUGAUGGAGAACAGCGACGAGGCUGUUUACAAUGAGUUACACGGAAGCUUUAGUGGUGAACAUGUGACUGGUGUUUGUGGAAAAGAAAGAAGAAAAACUUAAAACAAAAAUAUAAAGCUGCUGUGAGCCGUGAGGAGACCACGAGACGCUCCGUCACUGCUGUGGUCACUCUCUUCUUCAUCAGUGACCCCAGAGCCAGCGAGAGCAUGUAGAGAAAGACCAAAAGACACUGAGGCUGUGAUUUUGUUCAAGAUCCCCCCGCAGCAGCUCGGAGUAAACACACCGGUGAUGACUGCACCACAGAAGUAAUGAAGGAAAUUGAAGUUGGCAAAGAAAUGGAAUGCUGACAACAUGAGAUGUGAAUGUGCUACAGGGAGUCAGACUGGAGUCACAUGUUCAUGAUUGUGUGGUUCAUCACGGUCUUCCUCAUCCUCGCUGCGCACUCAAGCAACGAUAGCCUCGAUGUCUCUCUCUCAUCCGUGAUCAGGUUCAGUGUGACCGCAGCAGUGGUCGUGAUGGACGGCAGGGACAGGUGAAGGUGGACGCGGUGGUCUUCAUCAGAAUAAAGCUGCAGAACUGGCUCAGCUGUGUUGAGAUGCUGUAGAUGUGGGUUCACUGACUGUAAAUACAUGAUUGUUACAACAAUAUGUUUGAACAAAGCUUUGUUUCAUGUGUUGUUGACUUGUUUAUUGUCAUGGUUACUUUUAUUUACAUUUUACUCAUUUAUUCA